rnacentral:rRNA from 1 species
GACGAACGCUGGCGGCGUGCCUAAUACAUGCAAGUAGAACGCACAGUUUAUACCGUAGCUUGCUACACCAUAGACUGUGAGUUGCGAACGGGUGAGUAACGCGUAGGUAACCUGCCUGGUAGCGGGGGAUAACUAUUGGAAACGAUAGCUAAUACCGCAUAAUAUUAAUUAUUGCAUGAUAAUUAAUUGAAAGGUGCAAUUGCACCACUACCAGAUGGACCUGCGUUGUAUUAGCUAGUAGGUGAGGUAACGGCUCACCUAGGCGACGAUACAUAGCCGACCUGAGAGGGUGAUCGGCCACACUGGGACUGAGACACGGCCCAGACUUCUACGGGAGGCAGCAGUAGGGAAUCUUCGGCAAUGGACGAAAGUCUGACCGAGCAACGCCGCGUGAGUGAAGAAGGUUUUCGGACCGUAAAGCUCUGUUGUAAGAGAAGAACGGGUGUGAGAGUGGAAAGUUCACACUGUGACGGUAGCUUACCAGAAAGGGACGGCUAACUACGUG